UACGUAGGGUGCAAGCGUUGUCCGGAAUUAUUGGGCGUAAAGAGCUCGUAGGCGGUUUGUCGCGUCUGCUGUGAAAACUCAGGGCUUAACCCUGAGCCUGCAGUGGGUACGGGCAGACUAGAGUGUGGUAGGGGAGAUCGGAAUUCCUGGUGUAGCGGUGGAAUGCGUAGAGAUCAGCAAGAAUACCCGUGGCGAAGGUGGCCCCCUGGGCCGAACCUGACGCUGAGGCGCGAAGGCUAGGGGAGCGAACGGG
rnacentral:rRNA from 1 species